rnacentral:rRNA from 1 species
GGUUGAAGGUUGGGUAACACUAACUGGAGGACCGAACCGACUAAUGUUGAAAAAUUAGCGGAUGACCUGUGGCUGGGGGUGAAAGGCCAAUCAAACCGGGAGAUAGCUGGUUCUCCCCGAAAGCUAUUUAGGUAGCGCCUCGUGAAUUCAUCUCCGGGGGUAGAGCACUGUUUCGGCUAGGGGGCCAUCCCGGCUUACCAACCCGAUGCAAACUGCGAAUACCGGAGAAUGUUAUCACGGGAGACACACGGCGGGUGCUAACGUCCGUCGUGAAGAGGGAAACAACCCAGACCGCCAGCUAAGGUCCCAAAGUCAUGGUUAAGUGGGAAACGAUGUGGGAAGGCCCAGACAGCCAGGAUGUUGGCUUAGAAGCAGCCAUCAUUUAAAGAAAGCGUAAUAGCUCACUGGUCGAGUCGGCCUGCGCGGAAGAUGUAACGGGGCUAAACCAUGCACCGAAGCUGCGGCAGCGACACUGUGUGUUGUUGGGUAGGGGAGCGUUCUGUAAGCCUGUGAAGGUGUGUCGUGAGGCAUGCUGGAGGUAUCAGAAGUGCGAAUGCUGACAUAAGUAACGAUAAAGCGGGUGAAAAGCCCGCUCGCCGGAAGACCAAGGGUUCCUGUCCAACGUUAAUCGGGGCAGGGUGAGUCGACCCCUAAGGCGAGGCCGAAAGGCGUAGUCGAUGGGAAACGGGUUAAUAUUCCCGUACUUGGUGUUACUGCGAAGGGGGGACGGAGAAGGCUAUGUUGGCCGGGCGACGGUUGUCCCGGUUUAAGCGUGUAGGCUGGUUUUCCAGGCAAAUCCGGAAAAUCAAGGCUGAGGCGUGA